rnacentral:sRNA from 1 species
GCCGAAGUGCCACCACUGCAGUGGCUGCAA